GGCAACUUGUUCGGUUUCUUGUUUUUAUUUGGUGUUUAGAUCGAACUUUAACUUUUAGUUUAUCUUUGUAAAUAAACUUAUCAAGAGAAAAUAAGUUGCUAUUCGUGCAGUUUUAAACAGCGUUUAGGUUAAAGAUGUUUAUUGCAAUUUUAAUAUCUAUACUAUUUUUUUACUUAAUAUUCCAAUAUAAAAAUUACAUCAAUAAAUAUAACGAAAUAAAUAAAAUUCCAGGACCUACAAUAACCGAUAUUAUUAAGCUUUUUUAUAAACCGUCGGAAGGUUUAGUAAAUUUUUUUCAAUCGUUAAAUACAAAAUAUGGCCCAAUUGUUAAAAUAUGGAUUAAACCGAUGCCACCAAUUAUAAUAACAACAGAUUCAGAGUUUAUCGAUAAAAUUUACAAAUCGAAUCAUUAUUCUUGCUGAGAUUAAAUCUUUAUUUAGAAAUGGCUUAUUGAUUACAACAUCAAAAGAGAGUUGGAUGAAUAGUAAACAAAUUAUAUUAAAAAUUUUCACUAAUCAUUUAAUUUGCUAUAAUAAAAAAUAUAACGAAUUUUUCGAUAUGAUUUAUAAGAAUUUAGAAAAAUCGAUUGAUGUAGAUUGAUUCGAUGAUGGAUUCUAAAAUUAAAAUAACACAAGAAGAAAUUAACGAAUCCAUAGAAAAUUGGAUGAAAUAUUUUGAUUUGUUAUUAGGAAAAAUGAAUUCGAUAGGAAUUUUAUAUAAAUUUGCAAAUAAUUAUCGUUCAUUUUUGAGAUGUGC